rnacentral:misc_RNA from 1 species
AACGCACAUUGCGCCCGUUAGUAUUCUAGCGGGCAUGCCUGUUCGAGCGUCAUUUCAGCCCUCAGGCCACGCCUGGUGAUGGGGGCCGCUACCGGCGGCCCUGAAAGCUAGCGGCAGGCUCUGCUAUAACCCGAGCGCAGUAGUGUGUCGCUUAGGGGGAGGUAGCGCCUCGUCUCUUUUAAUUUUUCUAUGGUUGACCUCGGAUCAGGUAGGAAUACCCGCUGAACUUAA